UCCCUUGUGACUCAGUUGGUAAAGAAUCUGCCUGCAAUGCAGAAGACCUGGGUUCGAUCCCUGGGUUGGGAA
rnacentral:tRNA from 1 species